ensembl:snRNA
ACUUUCCUAUUCUUGGGGCUGUGCUACUAUCCAAUGAACACGUAGUAAGGGCAGUCUUGACAAUGCCCAUAUAACAUGCCCAUAUCAACUAAAGCUCUGCUUUGCCUUGCUACAAUUUUUGGAAAA